CUAUAUAUUAGUAAAUUUACCGUGAACGCGUUGAACUCGUUUGAAGGAGAGUGAUAAGAUUUAACCGAACGUGGUUGUUGCUUUCUUUCAUGCUACUCUCCUUCACCUUCUUAAUCACUCACCCAACCAACCCUUUUUCCUUCUGCCCGGAGUGUCAACAAUGUCAGAUCCAAACCAGAUUUCGUUCGUUCAAGCCUUCUUUUGCAGCGCUUUCGCCGCUUGUGUUGCCGAGUUUUGUACUAUUCCUCUGGACACAGCUAAGGUCAGGCUUCAACUCCAAAGGAAGCUAGGGGUUGAUGAUGAAGUGGGUUUACCUAAAUACAAGGGCUUGCUGGGCACGGUUAAGACCAUUGCUAGAGAAGAGGGUAUAUCAGCUCUAUGGAAAGGCAUUGUUCCUGGUUUGCAUCGCCAAUGUCUAUAUGGGGGCUUAAGAAUUGGGUUAUAUGAUCCUGUCAAAACAUUUCUUGUUGGUAGUGCAUUUGUUGGAGAGGUUCCAUUAUACCAUAUGGUACUGGCUGCUUUGCUGACUGGUGCUUUGGCAAUCAUGGUUGCUAAUCCAACUGAUCUAGUCAAAGUUAGGCUCCAAGCUGAAGGUCAAUUGCCAUCUGGGGUACCUAGGCGUUAUUCUGGUGCUAUAGAUGCAUAUAUAACUAUCUCAAGACAAGAAGGGAUAGGGGCCUUGUGGACUGGGCUUGGGCCCAAUAUAGCAAGGAAUGCAAUUAUAAAUGCUGCUGAAUUAGCUAGCUAUGAUCAAGUGAAACGGACGAUUUUGACAAUUCCAGGGUUCAUGGAUGAUGUCUAUACUCACCUCCUUGCUGGCUUAGGUGCAGGUCUUUUUGCUGUCUUUAUUGGUUCUCCUGUAGAUGUGGUGAAAUCCAGGAUGAUGGGGGAUUCAACCUACAAAAGCACAUUUGACUGCUUCCUCAAGACUUUGCUUAAUGAGGUAAAGACCUUAAUUAUAUGAGAUGACUUGGGAGACAGGACAAAAACAUUUUAGAGUUGACAAGAAGGUCUGCAUAAAGUUUAUCUUUUUCUGUGUACCGAUUGAACUCAUGUCACAAAUGUAUUGCAGGGAUUUACGGCCUUCUAUAAAGGUUUCCUUCCUAAUUUUGGUCGAAUAGGAGCUUGGAAUGUGGUUAUGUUUCUUACCCUUGAACAAGUCAAGAGGGUCUUCAGAGGAUAAUUAUUGCCACUCUUCAUGAUUGAGGUUCACUAAGCAAAAAUAGUGUUUUUUCUCGGAUGAUUGCUUUCAGAUGAACGACAGAUUUUUACAGCAGAAGGGCGGUCUUUCCUCAUUUGUUUCCUACUUCUGUCGUGUGGAUGGACAUCAAGCUUUAUAUAUUCUUAGUCGAUGAAUAAACCGUUAAUUUACCUUUUAUGGCUGUUGUCCACUUGUGCCACGUGGACGCCACAAUUCAAACAUUCUUAUCCAAUGAAUAGAUCGUGAAACUACAUUUACUUGAAAGGCCUACAUUGCGCUGGUUCGAUACGAGAUGUAUUUUUCAUUUUUUUUUUCCUGGGAAAUAAAUUGUGUAUUUCCCCACUCAUUGAAUAGACAAGUGAAAUGACACAUGCAUGAAAACUGAUAAUUAUUUAGUCUAUAAUUUAUUAUUCCAUUCAAAUAUUAUGGGUCUAUUGCCAUUGAUA